UCUAUUAUCUAUGAUUUUUUCUUUCAUAAAUUAUUUAUACUAUUGUUUUAAAGUAUUUCAGUAUAUGUGAUGUAUGUUCAGUGUUGUCCAUAGGUGUGUGGUGUUGUCAACGCAUACGAUUAGUAAAUAAUACUGCCCAAUCAAUACCUACUCAUUCAACAUGAUUAAUAAAACCAUUUUGUAUUAGCAAACAUAAAUCCUAUAAGAAGCCUCGUAGUACUAUUUAACAUUCAAUUGACAUUUAUGGAACGUGUUGAUUAUAUAUGUGUAACAAAGCCUCUAGAAAGCUUAAUUUUGUUUUAUGUAAAUCAAUAAUUUUUAAAAAAUAUAAAAAUCAUAUUAAUUGGUAAUUUUUUACAUUAGUUGACAUUCGAGUUGAGACAUGAAGUUUAGCCAUGUAGGUAGAAUGACCAAGUAGUGUGGUAGUAUUUAUUAGAAUUUUGUUUAUUAUUUGUUUAAAAAUCAAUGUGACUGAGAUACAGGCUGUUAAAGUAUUGUUAAUCGAAGGAAAUUUCGAUAGGUACGGCCCUGACUUCAGCCUUCCGUCAGCUGUUUCCUCCAAACAUUGUUUAUUCUAAAACAUAUCUCGUAACAUCAUUCCAAUAUAUCAGCCCGCCUUUGGCGGGCAAGGACAUUGUAAAAACUCCAGUCUAUCAUAAUUCUACCUAACUAAACGAUGACAUCAUCAAUGCAUAUUUGGCGAGAACAGCUGAUGAAGGGCUGCAGCCAGGGCCGUAUCAACCGGAAUUUCCUCCGAUUAAGAAAACUUUAGGAGCCUUAUCUCCAGCUACAUAGAUUUCCGCAUGGAAUUAAUACUACCACACGAUUCUACUUGGUGAGUACUACUUACCUGACUUAACUUCAUCACUCAACUCGUCUGUCAACUAAUGUAAAAAAUGGCCUAUUAAUAUUAUACCAAAAUUACGUCAAAUCUAUUAUGGUUUAUGCUGAUAUUAUACGACGUCCUUUUCUACGAAAGCGUAGAAGGACCAAACAAUCUUUUUUGGAAUUUCGACUUUGAACUUGAAAUGUUGACUUGCAACUCGAAACUUCGACUUUAUCUCGAAAUUUCGUCUUACAACUCAAAAUUUCAAAUUACAACUCGAAAUUUCAACUUGUAACUCCUAAGUGCUUAUUAAUUCACAACCUAAUUCAAUCCUAACCUAAGCUAAGGUAAUAUGAAGAAAGGACAAGAGCAUAUAUAAUAGAUAUACAAAUGGGACAAGAAUACUACAAUAUAACACUCAUUUCGUUCGUGUUGUCAUUACCUUCUGUAACCUUAUGAUUACAACCGUUCGGAUGAAAGCUUCAAUAACGGAUCAUAACUUUAAGGGAACAUUAUAAAAAUUGGAUGCCAAGUUAAUGGAGCAUUUUGUCUCGUCAAUCAACUUUUCGCUUUUGGAUGUAGUGCUAGCUGAAGGAAACGUAAAAGCUUUUACCCUGCGCAGUGUGUUGUUGCUAAAGAAAUGAUUUAUCAUAAUGAAUUGCUUGGCUAACAUAUAAGAGAGAUUGGGUUGUUAAUUUUGACCCUAGCGAUGACGACAUGGGAUGUCUGACCUGAUACCCUUUCUCAAUUUGGUUUGCAUUCCAUUCGUGUAAACUAUGGAACGCUACAUUCUUCAGUUAGUUCAGGAACAUAAAAACUCCAGAUUCCGUAUGUUACAAAACAUUGGUUGUAUCAGUGCCCUUGCACUCUGCAACGUGGUAAUACCCGAAGUUUGAGGAAGGCGUGAAAGUGCCUUUUACCGUUGGGAACGAAGAAAGUGUGCUGUAGCAGAAGGAAAGAUUUAUGACAAUGAACUGGUAAGUAACAGUAUUGAUUAAAAAUAGUAAACGAAGUCUUACAAACAUUAAUUUCCUAGAAUUCAUAAGGCCUGUUAGGCGUUUAAAGCUUCAGUAGGUUUUGCUGAUUUUGCCACAAAAAUUUUUAAAGAACAUCAAUUUGCACUUCCAACCCCCAAUUUAAAAACGUUUUUAUUUCUUGAUUAUUAAUAUUUUAAAUCCUGAUUUCGAAAGCCGAAUCAUUAAUAAGUAAAAGAAGUCAGAACUGCUACUGCAGCCUGACGUUCAGAAUACUUUGCAAUGAAGUGGGUUGCCUAUAUCGAGGACCAACAGUCACCAGCCGUAUUUAAAAUAAUUUGUAUUUUAAAUUGAAACCUUCCUGCGAAAUUAAAUGAGUGCGCUGUAGUCUAGAUCUAGAUAAAGAUAGAAAUGUUACAGUGCGAGUCGAAAUUCGUAAGCAACUAAAUUAUUGGAUUUUAAUAAAAUAAUCUAAAUUUUUUUGGUACAAAAGCAGUCUAUGAAAAUGAUUAUG
rnacentral:lncRNA from 1 species